UGGCAGCCGGUCCACCCGGGUGAAGUGAAGCAGUGAACAGCCUUUAUUCAUUCAUUUCACGGCAAGCGCCGCUUUAACGAUUUCCUCAACAUUACUAAACAGAUGGCGGGAGCUGCCAUGCAAGGCCCUAACCACCACCCAUCAGGAGCAAGGGUGAAGUGUCUUGCUCAAGGACACGACGGACGUGACGAGGUUGGUAGAAGAUGUCAUCACCUGACAGUUAUCAUCACUGCUGUCUGAUUCCAAUCAAUGCAAGUCAUCAGAAUCAGAUGUCAUCAGUGUUUGGACCUGACACAGUGUGCAAAGGAUAUCACCACUUGGGCUCAGGAACACUUCAGAAAACCACUGUCAGUAACUACAGUUCGUCACUACAUCUGUAAGUGCAAGUUAAAACUCUACUAUGCAAAGCCAAAGCCAUUUAUCAACAACACCCA